rnacentral:rRNA from 1 species
GAUGAACGCUGGCGGCGUGCCUAAUACAUGCAAGUCGAGCGAACGGACGAGAAGCUUGCUUCUCUGAUGUUAGCGGCGGACGGGUGAGUAACACGUGGAUAACCUACCUAUAAGACUGGGAUAACUUCGGGAAACCGGAGCUAAUACCGGAUGAUAUUUUGAACCGCAUGGUUCAAAAGUGAAAGACGGUCUUGCUGUCACUUAUAGAUGGAUCCGCGCUGCAUUAGCUAGUUGGUAAGGUAACGGCUUACCAAGGCAACGAUGCAUAGCCGACCUGAGAGGGUGGUCGGACACACUGGAACUGAGACACGGUCCAGACUCCUACGGGAGGCAGCAGUAGGGAAUCUUCCGCAAUGGGCGAAAGCCUGACGGAGCAACGCCGCGUGAGUGAUGAAGGUCUUCGGAUCGUAAAACUCUGUUAUUAGUGAAGAACAUAUGUGUAAGUAACUGUGCACAUCUUGACGGUACCUAAUCAGAAAGCCACGGCUAACUACGUG